rnacentral:misc_RNA from 1 species
GAUGAAGAACGUAGCGAAAUGCGAUAAGUAAUGUGAAUUGCAGAAUUCAGUGUAUCAUCGAAUCUUUGAACGCACAUUGCGCCCGCCAGUAUUCUGGCGGGCAUGCCUGUCCGAGCGUCAUUUCAACCCUCGAACCCCUCCGGGGGGUCGGCGUUGGGGAUCGGCCCUUUACGGGGCCGGCCCCGAAAUACAGUGGCGGUCUCGCCGCAGCCUCUCCUGCGCAGUAGUUUGCACACUCGCAUCGGGAGCGCGGCGCGUCCACAGCCGUUAAACACCCCAAACUUCUGAAAUGUUGACCUCGGAUCAGGUAGGAAUACCCGCUGAACUUAAGCAUAUCAAUAAGCGGAGGA